rnacentral:rRNA from 1 species
CAGCUCGUGUCGUGAGAUGUUGGGUUAAGUCCCGCAACGAGCGCAACCCUUAUCUUCAGUAGCCAGCAGGUAAAGCCGGGCACUCUGGAGAGACUGCCGGGGAUAGCCCGGAGGAAGGUGGGGAUGACGUCAAAUCAUCAUGCCCCUUAUGAUUUGGGCUACACACGUGCUACAAUGGCGUAAACAGAGGGAAGCGAGCCCGCGAGGGGGAGCAAAUCCCAAAAAUAACGUCCCAGUUCGGAUUGUAGUCUGCAACCCGACUACAUGAAGCUGGAAUCGCUAGUAAUCGCGGAUCAGAAUGCCGCGGUGAAUACGUUCCCGGGUCUUGUACACACCGCCCGUCACACCAUGGGAGUCGGAAAUGCCCGAAGUCUGUGACCUAACCGUAAGGGAGGAGCAGCCGAAGGCAGGUCGGAUGACUGGGGUGAAGUCGUAACAAGGUAGCCGUAUCGGAAGGUGCGGUUGGAUCACCUC